rnacentral:rRNA from 1 species
GACAGAGGGUGCGAACGUUGCUCGGAAUCAUUGGGCGUAAAGCGCGUGUAGGCGGCAUCGCACGUCGGGUGUGAAAGCCCGGGGCUCAACUCCAGAACUGCCUUCGAUACUGGCGAUCUCGAGUUCGGGAGAGGUGAGUGGAACUGCGAGUGUAGAGGUGAAAUUCGUAGAUAUUCGCAAGAACACCAGUGGCGAAGGCGGCUCACUGGCCCGAGUACUGACGCUGAGGAGCGAAAGCCAGGGGAGCAAAGCGGG